rnacentral:rRNA from 1 species
CCCUUAGAUGUUCUGGGCCGCACGCGCGCUACACUGACGGAUUCAACGAGCUUACAACCUUGGCCGAAAGGUCUGGGUAAUCUCCAAAAUCUGUCGUGAUGGGGAUAGAUUAUUGCAAUUAUUAAUCUUCAACGAGGAAUGCCUAGUAAGCGCAAGUCAUCAGCUUGCGUUGAUUACGUCCCUGCCCUUUGUACACACCGCCCGUCGCUCCUACCGAUUGAAUGGUCCGGUGAAGCGUUUGGACUAUGGUUUUCUGAUGGUCCGCCGUUGGAUUACCGUGGGAAGUUCGUUAAACCUUAUCAUUUAGAGGAAGGAGAAGUCGUAACA